rnacentral:rRNA from 1 species
AUGGCUUUGGCUCCAGGGGGAAACCUCCGAUCCACUAGAUCGGGCGAUGGAGGCAUCCUCGCGUCUUUCUCCUCCUUGGGGGCAUCGUCUCGGAGUCGGCUACGACCGAGAGACCGGUGGAUGGCGGUAUCUUCGCCGUGUGGUUUGCUGAGGCAGGGCGCUUGUUUCUGUUUUGGCAACAAUGAUGACGUCGAGAGGAGCUCGGGUCGCGGCAUGGACUUUGGUAGUCGGUCCUUUCCGGCGUGUUCGAGGUGCUCUUUCGUAGGUUGCUUGGUUGCUUUGAAGUCAGAGCUGUGGUGGAGCGGAUCCAGGUGGUGA